rnacentral:piRNA from 1 species
UCCUUCUCUAGCUUCUUUGAUGUUCUUCCC